rnacentral:rRNA from 1 species
GAGGAAAAGAAACCAACAGGGAUUGCCUUAGUAGCGGCGAGUGAAGCGGCAAAAGCUCAAAUUUGAAAUCUGGCUCUUUCAGAGUCCGAGUUGUAAUUUGAAGAAGGUAUCUUUGGGUCUGGCUCUUGUCUAUGUUUCUUGGAACAGAACGUCACAGAGGGUGAGAAUCCCGUGCGAUGAGAUGAUCCAGGCCUAUGUAAAGUUCCUUCGAAGAGUCGAGUUGUUUGGGAAUGCAGCUCUAAGUGGGUGGUAAAUUCCAUCUAAAGCUAAAUAUUGGCGAGAGACCGAUAGCGAACAAGUACAGUGAUGGAAAGAUGAAAAGAACUUUGAAAAGAGAGUGAAAAAGUACGUGAAAUUGUUGAAAGGGAAGGGCUUGAGAUCAGACUUGGUAUUUUGUAUGUUACUUCUUCGGGGGUGGCCUCUACAGUUUAUCGGGCCAGCAUCAGUUUGGGCGGUAGGAGAAUUGCGUUGGAAUGUGGCACGRCUUCGGUUGUGUGUUAUAGCCUUCGUCGAUACUGCCAGCCUAGACUGAGGACUGCGGUUUAUACCUAGGAUGUUGGCAUAAUGAUCUUAAGUCGCCG